rnacentral:rRNA from 1 species
CGUGUAGGCGGCUCAUCAAGUCUGGUGUGAAAUCGCAAGGCUCAACCUUGCAUAUGCGCUGGAAACUGGUGGGCUUGAGUUCUUGAGGGGAAGCUGGAAUUCCAGGUGUAGGGGUGAAAUCUGUAGAUAUCUGGAAGAACACCGGUGGCGAAGGCGAGCUUCUAUCAGAGGACUGACGCUGAGGCGCGAAAGCGUGGGGAGCAAACAGGAUUAGAUACCCUGGUAGUCCACGCUGUAAACGAUGUGCACUAGGCGUGGGGCACGUACGUGCUCUGUGCCGUAGUUAACGUGUUAAGUGCACCGCCUGGGGAGUAUGCUCGCAAGGGUGAA